rnacentral:snRNA from 1 species
UUUGCAGCUUUGCCUUUUGGCUUAGAUCAAGUGUAGUAUCUGUUCUUUUCAGUUUAAUCUCUGAAAUCAUUCUACGGAAUGAACAACUUUGAUUAAUCUCAUUUUUGGCACUCGCUGGUCAAACCCCUCUGUGCUUGCGCAAUGGGUUUCCGGCACCGUGUUCGAGGUCUUACACUGCCACCUUGUGACGCGAACCUUU